AGGUGCAAAUAGCCAUCAUCUUGUCCAAACAUUGGUUUAUUGCAGGAUGAAAAUGAGAGGGAACAUAUCACUGGCACAGUAGGCCAGCAUUAGUUUACUCUUUACCGAGAUGCGUGACUGAGGAAAAUCCCAUUUUCAACCGUAAAUGGAACUGAAUCUAAAUAAAAAGAGGAACUAUUUUCCAUUUUAGGGUAGUAGAGUAACUCCAGAGUUAAGUCUCUUUGUAUGUCACUUCAGCAUUACAAAAUAACAGAAAAAGGCCCGUGAAGCUGGUAAGAUCAAUCAAACGCUAAUGAUUAUAAAUUACAUUGAUACAGUGAAAAGCUUUGUUCAUGCAUAAAGGGCUAAUUUCCGUAACAGAGUUAUAUUCCUGCCCAGCCGCUGUUUUGAUCUAGAAACACAAAAGAUCUAAUUUUACGCAACAUAUAGCAUUUUGUGCAACACCAAUACUUUUUAUUAAUCUCCACCUGUUCAUUUUCUGCACCUGCAUUGCCUAUCCAGGGUCACAAGGUUCCUCGAAGGUACAGGUGCAAGUGGCCCAGGAUGGAGCGCCGACCAAUCACAAGGCACACACAUACACACCAAACACAAUCUGGCAACUCCAGUUUACCUUAGCAUGUUGUUGGACUGUGGGGGGAAACCAGCUUACCCUGAAGGGGCCCCAUGGCGACAUGGGAGAACAGGCCAACUCCACACAUGUAGCCAGAGCGGAAGCUCAAACCCCAGUCCCAGAGGACCUUAGGCAACGGCGCUAAACACCGCUUUUUAUUAAUGCCCCAGCACAUGGACAUCUUCUCCAGGAAGCUUUACAUAUUAUAUAUGAACUGUUCACUGACAUUAAAUCAAAAUAUUCAUCUGCGUUUUCAUAGAGCAAAUAAUAACUAAACUAACCAGUGGCCUGCGCUACGAAGCGGGUUACUGGCUUAUCGCGGGAACUUGUUGGAUUUAAGGUACCACAGUUUAAAUGAACUUCAUGUUCGUUCACUUACAUUUUGCCCAGACUACCUUAAAUCCGACAAUAAGCCCCGAUAAGCCAGUAACCCCGCUUCGUAGUGCAGGCCCCAGGCCCAGCUGGCCUGUUUGGGUUAAUUUCAUCUCUUCAUCCCCCCCACCUGGUCAGGGUGGAGGGGGGCAGGACUGGGGUAAACUCUGGGUUGGAUGCCAGUCCAUCAAAGGACAGUGUUAAUUUCCCUUUCUCUAAAAGAUUCUUUGCCUCAUCCAUCCAUCCAUCCAGUCCAUCGCUAUUUGUUUUAUAGUUACGUCUCUGUGCAACUACAGUCAGAUUAAUGUCUGGUUAAUAGCUGUUUUUAUAAAUAUAUAAUGACUGGCCAGUUUUGGAACAGGGUAGGAGCCCCUUUUGUCUCCAGAAAACCUUCAAAGUUCAACAAGCUCUGCAUUCCGAAGUGCCGUUCUACUUCAUAGUAGUAAGUUGUUAUUCUACUAUUAGUGGCUGUUCCUGUUAGCUCUACCAAGGUGUGUUACCCACAGAUCUGCUGAAUGGCUGACAAUGAUUUUUUUUAGUCACACCAUUCCAGACACUACAGUGUCUCUAGGAUACUGGACCAGCAAGUACCCGCCUGAUGCCAACUUGUCCAUUCAAAUACUUAGUGAAAAAGUAAGUGAACCUCUGGACCCUGUCUGUCUGUCUGUGCCAUAGACUGAGUUCUAUCCACAUGAUUCUCUAUUGUGAGGUGCAGACCGUAUGUUUCAAUGAGCAGGUGAACCUAAUACAGUGUCCUCUGGCCUCAGCUCGUCAAUUUUUUUGUGUUGGAGAAGAUGACACUGUCAUUAAAUUGGGCUUAUUAAGUCAGUAAAUUCAUGAGCACCUUGUGAUUUUGUGGUUUCCAAACUGGGCAUUGCCUCACAGCUUAAGAUUCUCACGAGAAGCACCACGGCGCCGUCACUUGACUACGUGACUAAGAGGUUAUAGGAAAGGAGCAGAGGAUACAUUCAUUUCUUUAAAUACAAUAUUAUUCACUGCUUGCUACACUAAAGGAAAAAUAACCUGGCACAAUUAUUGUGAACAUUAGUUCUAGUUGGGUAACUGGUAUGUAAUGAUAAUAAAAUCAAAGUGUGACUUUUGAAAACAUGUUGCAAAAAUAUUUAUAUAAAAAUAUAUAUGAAAAAAUAUAUUUCCUUUUAAAAAUAAACCACAAAUUACUAGAGAUAUUGACUUGUAUUUGUGUUUUCCCCUGCCACAAGAUGUCACUUUAGCUCAAAGCAGAGAUCUUGGAAAUGACCUCUUGGCUGAAAAUCAUCUUAAAUAUUUUGCGGGGUUAAGGCAAAGGUUGGCCUAAUGCAAAUAUGAAGAAAUCACUGCAGCUCUAUGGGAGGGGUUUUCUGUCGCAUGCUUGUCGAUUUUUUGCGAUUGGUCUGUAAUUCCUCAUUCGAAAUCCGUCCACUUAGAAUCCCUCCCAAUGGUGACGUGAUGCGCAUGUAUUUAAGCUCAGGAAUAUAUAUAUAUCAGCCUGUACUCCCUCGAUCUGCAUUUGAAGGGAUGGAGGAGGAGGAGAAGAAGGAGGAGAAGGCAUGGUUUGCAUGUGGCAGGAUGGGGAGAUGCCUGAUUGAGGAAGAAACAUGAUGAUCAUAUUCAGAACUUUUAAAGGAAUUCUCUAUUCUAUUCUAUUCUAUUCUAUUCUAUUAUGCUCUAUUCUAUUCUGUUAUGCUCUAUUCUAUUAUGUUAUGCUCUAUUCUAUUCUAUUUUAUGCUAUGUUCAGUAAAUAUACUCUUUGCUUGUAUGUUUCUAUAUAUCAUUACAUGUUUUCUUUCAAUCUCCAUUUAAGUGGCCACACCCAUGCAGAAGGUAACUGAAUACCUGCAUAUGCACAUGCGUGUGUUUAUAUAUUUUUUUAAAAGCAUACGCAUUUAUGAAGUCAAAAAAAAAAAACAAGUAGAAAAAACAGAAAUGUUUCUGGAUGAGGCUAAUUUUACAGUUAACUUCCCCUGACAUCGGCGGCUCCCAUGAGAAAACAGGCGGGGGCCGAGCCUUGCUGAAAUGGGUCGAUCCACUAAAUGAAGCACAAUCAUGGCCCUGAUCUGCAUGCGAAGCCGCAUCAAAGCGGGAGGCUGGCCCUCCGGGUUCAAGAGUGACCAUCUGUCAAACUUACACGAUCAAUACAAGUUAAGUACAGAUCGGAGGCAACACAGCCAGCACAGGUCACUUAAAUAACCCCUUUUUGAAUGUUUGAUUGCCCUUUGUGAAAUCAAAGGACUAAGCGGGAUCUUAAUCUGGAAUUAAUUUUUUGAACAGAUAGCUUUAAGUAGGUCAGUGGGUAAUGCUGUUGCCUCAUGCCUCCAGGGAUGGGGGGGCGGGGGCGGGGGGGUCAGAUCACACCUCUGCUGUGCAUGUGUGUAGUUUGUAUGUUCUUCUCCUGCCCUUGGGUCUCCUCCAGCUACUCAAAGCUACUGGCUUGUUGGAAGACAUGCAAUUCGGUGACCUGACAUUAAUUAAUAGGAAAUGUCUGCAUAAUUAACUAAACAAGCACCAGUCUGGCACCAACCUAUUCAUUGUAAUACUUAAUUCAUUAAAUCGCCUGCAUGUUUGCCCGGCCUGAUGGACCAGCCUCCCUUCCAAGGUGCCCCCCCUUGUGCCCUCUGCCAUCUCCAGUGGGCUGCGUCCGGAGAGGCAACUAGAGGAUGGAUGGAAACAUAUCCCAAAUCACCAUCUACUGCCCCAUCUACGGAACUUAAAAUUCUGUCCCAUCUCCUCUCCUACAAAACUGAUUUUUUUAAAAUCUCCUGCCUAAUUGUACUAUAUGUAUUGCACUGUAUCUGUUGUUUGUACCUUAUUUAAAGUAUCCCAGAUGUACCUUCAUAUGUAAGAGACGUCCCCGUCUGGCCUUUAAAAUCAUGCUGUGGGCCAGAGGAACAAAAAUGUAUAUCACUGUACUGCAAUGUAUAGAUGACAUGACAAUAAAAUCCAUUUGACUUGAA